rnacentral:rRNA from 1 species
AUGCUUAUGAUUUUCAUUAUCAUGAUCAUCAUUCAUUUGCUGACCUUACAUUUGCGACUUGGAUUCUGCCGAACAAUAACAGCCAACAGUGACUUUACAAGUUGGCAUUCAAACCUUGGUCGUUCCAUCCAAAUAACAACAGUGACUAUCCAUCUUACCCUCUGGAGUCUGUUUUACAGUGAACACCCAUUUGCAUCCAGUUGCUCUUCUUCCUGCUGGGAGUGGGAGAAGAUCCCACGUCUUGUUCUUCUGAACUCUGAAGUGCAUCAAGCUCCUCCUUCAUCGCGUCUAUCUUUCCACCGGGGGAAGCACCUGCCUGCAUAUAGUGAAGCUGAUCAAUUCAUUAGUGCUGGAAACUCUGUUGGUGCGGAUGCUCUCCAUGGUCUAACAGGUACAAAGAUUCAGUCAUCUGCCUCUGCUUACAUGGAGUCGGCGUGGGGCGCUUACGUCUGCCUGCCGGCAGAAGGAGGCCAAGUGGGGGACGAGGAGGUGGGCGAUAAAGCCGGCCAAGAUUCCGGUGAGGAAGGAAGGGUUGGGCGAUCAUGA